rnacentral:rRNA from 1 species
AACGAACGCUGGCGGCAUGCCUAACACAUGCAAGUCGAACGAGACCUUCGGGUCUAGUGGCGCACGGGUGCGUAACGCGUGGGAACCUGCCCUUAGGUUCGGAAUAACUCCCCGAAAGGGGUGCUAAUACCGGAUAAUGUCUUCGGACCAAAGAUUUAUCGCCUUUGGAUGGGCCCGCGUUGGAUUAGCUAGUUGGUAGGGUAAAAGCCUACCAAGGCGACGAUCCAUAGCUGGUCUGAGAGGAUGAUCAGCCACACUGGGACUGAGACACGGCCCAGACUCCUACGGGAGGCAGCAGUGGGGAAUAUUGGACAAUGGGCGAAAGCCUGAUCCAGCAAUGCCGCGUGAGGGAUGAAGGCCUUAGGGUUGUAAAGCUCUUUUACCCGGGAUGAUAAUGACAGUACCGGGAGAAUAAGCUCCGGCUAACUCCGUGC